UACGGAGGGUGCGAGCGUUGUCCGGAAUCACUGGGCGUAAAGGGCGCGUAGGCGGCCUGCUAAGUAGGGGGUGAAAUCUUGCGGCUUAACCGCAAGGCUGCCUUCUAAACUGUCAGGCUAGAGCACAGUAGAGGCAGGUGGAAUUCCCGGUGUAGCGGUGGAAUGCGUAGAGAUCGGGAAGAACAUCAGUGGCGAAGGCGGCCUUCUGGACAAUGACUGACGCUGAAACGCGAAAGCGUGGGGAGCAAACAGG
rnacentral:rRNA from 1 species